GAUGAACGCUGGCGGCGUGCCUAAUACAUGCAAGUCGAGCGAACGGACGAGAAGCUUGCUUCUCUGAUGUUAGCGGCGGACGGGUGAGUAACACGUGGAUAACCUACCUAUAAGACUGGGAUAACUUCGGGAAACCGGAGCUAAUACCGGAUAAUAUUUUGAACCGCAUGGUUCAAAAGUGAAAGACGGUCUUGCUGUCACUUAUAGAUGGAUCCGCGCUGCAUUAGCUAGUUGGUAAGGUAACGGCUUACCAAGGCAACGAUGCAUAGCCGACCUGAGAGGGGGAUCGGCCACAGUAGAACUGAGACAGGGCCCAGACUCCGGGGGGAGGACGCAGUAGGAAAUCUUCGGCAAUGGGCGAAAGCCGGAGGGAGCAACGCCGGGGGAGUGAGGAAGGUGUUCGGAUCGUAAAACUGUUUAAUUAGGGAAAAAAAUAUGUGUAAGUAACUGGGCACAUCUGGACGGUACCUAAUAAGAAAGCCCCGGCUAACUACGUG
rnacentral:rRNA from 1 species